AAUUGCAGGGAAAUAUAAAAUUGCGAUUCCUGAGGCGAUAGUCAUGGAAAUCAAGAGAACAAACAUCCAUUCCUCUCGGACGACUGGGAUGUCACAUUUGAUGAGUUUUUCAGAGUUCGGUUCCCACUUACAGCAUCGAUUCCCCGAAGCCAGCGUCGCAGUCCAAAUUACAUUUCUCAAUGAGAGGUCUUUCUGGUUUCUCGCCACGUAAGUCUGGUAGGACAUUUCCAACGUAGAGAUAAAAAGCCAAACUGAACACAAAUAUCAUAAGAGCAAACUGCGACACAUAGUUGAAGAGAAUCUUCCAACGAUCCAUUUUAUGCAGACAUAAGGCGGAUUGUCAGGAUUUAAUAACAGAAAUAACCUGUGUUUGGAGGUAGUUGAUCCGAUGUCCUUCGAAACGUGCACUUGCCAAAUUAAAUAAAAAAAAAACGAGUA